rnacentral:lncRNA from 1 species
CCGCCAUGGCGCCGGCGCCGCCCAGUCAGCCACCGGUGGUGGCAGCGACUUCCACUCGGGAAACCGGGUCUCCGCCUCUUGCUCCCGGCCCGCCUGCUCCGGGCUGCGGCGGCGUCCCCGCCUCUCCGCCACCCGCUGCGCGGCCCGGCCGCGGCGCUGGCGGGGAGGGGGCCGCAGUUGUCGACGCCGCCCCGCCUCCGAGAAGGGACCACGUUAAAUGAACAAAGACUGAACUGUCACAGAUACUUUUUUAUAAAAGGCCUCCGUGGACUAUUGCUUCAGUCUGACUGAUAAACAAGUUCCUAUGAUGAGCUCACAGAUUCUUGCACAGCCUCACUAUUUGAAGAAAGUUCAUUCUGAAAAUCUGAAGCAGUUAAUGGGUAAAUAUGAUCAGGUAUCUCCACCAAGUUCUCAGCCUGAGAAGGGUAAGCUUUUGUUCACCUCUUCAUCCCCAUCUGUGCCCUCUGCAGUGUUUGGGGACCAGCUUCUUUCACUUAGUAUAGUGUCCUCAUGUUCCUCUACGACAUACUAUGUAUCAGUACUGCAUUCCUUUUUAUCGUUGAAUAAUAUUCCAUUGUAUGAAUGUACCACAUUUUGUUUUAGUUGAUGGAAGUUGGGAUUGUUCCCACUUUGUAUCACUAAGAGUAUUUAUUCCAUUGUACAGUCGUAACACCAUUUAGCUUAUCCAUUCACCUAUUAAUGACAUUUUCUUUCUUUCUGGAGCUGUUACAAAUGAAAUUACUGUAAACAUUGAUAUCCAAGCCUUUGUGUAGACAUAGAUCUCCUUUUCUUUGGAGUAAAUAUCUAGGAGUGAUAUAAAAUGGAUCAUUUGGUAAAUGUGUGUGUGACUUCUUAAGAAACUGCCUGUGAUGGUUUGGAUGUGAGGUGUCCCCCCAAAGCUCAUGUGUGAGACAAUGCAAAGAGGUUUAGAGUAUCAUGAGAGUCUUACCUAGUCAGUGAACUACUCCCUGAUGGGAUGAGCUGUGUGGUAGGGUGUGGCUGGCGAAGGUAGGAGAUGGGAGGUGGGCGUGCCCUUGGGGUAUAUUUUUGCACCUGGUGAGUGGAGUCUCUGCUUCUUGACAUAAUUCCUGAGCCCCUUCCUCCGCCACACUCUUCCAGCCUCACCUUGUGCCCUGAGGAAGGAGCCAGCUGUCUGUGGACUGAGACCUCUGAAAACGUGAGCCCCCAAUUACACUUUUUCUCCUUAAAAUUGCUCUUGCCAGGUCUUUUGGUCACAGCAACAAAAAAGCUGACUGAAGCUCUGCCAGACUAGUGAGUUGCGGUAGCCACGCCCGUGGUCCCAAUGGACCAGGCUGAAGCAGGAGGAUCACAAGUUCAAGGCCGGCCUGGGCAACUUAAUCCUGUCUCGAAAUAUAAAAUAAAAAGGACUUGGGGGGCUGGGGCUGGGGCUCA